rnacentral:rRNA from 1 species
GACGAACGCUGGCGGCGUGCUUAACACAUGCAAGUCGAACGAAGUGGCGAACGGGUGAGUAACGCGUAAUCCACCUGCCCUUCAGAGGGGGACAACAGUUGGCAACGACUGCUAAUACAGCAUACUGAAGGAGGGGAUUGCGUCUGAUUAGCUAGUUGGAGGGGUAACGGCCCACCAAGGCGCUGAUCGGUAGCCGGUCUGAGAGGAUGAACGGGCACAUUGGGACUUAGAAACGGCCCAGACGCCUACGGGAGGCAGCAGGGGGGAAUCUUCCGGAAUGGACGAAAGUCUGACGGAGCAACGCCGCGUGAGUGAUGACGGCCUUCGGGUUGGAAAGCUCUGUUAAUCGGGACGCGGUACCGGAAUAGAAAGCCACGGCUAACUACGUGCCAGCCGCCGCGGUAAUUC